ACGAACGCUGGCGGCGUGCUUAACACAUGCAAGUCGAACGGAGAUAGUUUGAAACUUGCUGAUAACUAUCUUAGUGGCGCACGGGUGAGUAACACGUGGGCAACCUGCCCGGAAGACUGGGAUAACACCUCGAAAGGGGUGCUAAUACCGGAUACCUUCACGAAGUCGCAUGACUUUGUGCAGAAAGAAAUUCGCUUCCGGAUGGGCCCGCGUCCCAUUAGCUAGUUGGUGAGGUAACGGCUCACCAAGGCGACGAUGGGUAGCUG
rnacentral:rRNA from 1 species